GGGCACAAGUCACAGCCGCCUCUCCUGGCUUAACUAAAAGCUGAGCCAUCACUGUCAUUAGCAACAUUGAUACAACAGCACCCUUCAUUUUUGCUGGUACUACACUUUGAACUGCGACCCACUAAUCGCUUCUAGCUGCUUGUUUUAGUUUUGGUAUGCUUUGAAGUGAAAUUGGAGGAUGUAUAUAUAGGCAUUUGGAGUUGAAGAAUGUUACAAGUUGUGGGUCAUGCCACAGCAAUAGCUGUUAGUGUAUUUUGUCAUCUGCUUUAUCUGUUGGUUUCCCAAAAUAGUAAAUAGGGAUAGGCUUCUGAAUCAUGUUUGCACUUUCUGUUGGGUCUUAUCCGGCUUAGCCAACGGUAUAUUGCCAUAGCUGGCUGUAAUAAAAUUUCCAGCAUCUUGGAUCACAAUUUGAAUUAAUUGAAAAUGAUAAUCAUGUUUUAGAUAUUAGUAAGUAAAUUAGUAAAGGUUCAUCUCUCAUUCAUACAUGGGAAUGUCUGCAUAUAAUGUAUGCUUCUUCUUUCCCCUUUUUAUUGUAUGUAAUGGAAACUCCGGGAAGGAAUAUCAUUGAAUUAAUGUAAGGAUUUAGUAAUCACUCUAGAUAAGCAUAAUAUAUAGGUUUCAGUGACAUCUCUUAAUGACUACAUGCUUAGUGGGUCAAAUAGUUGAGGUGGCUGAUCAAUUAAAUCUAAAGCUUAAUAAUGACAAAGGAAGAUUAAAAUUUUUGAGCGCUCAAAGAUCCAACAACGAGCAACUCGGCAAAAGAAAUGAUGAGUCUAAGCACAAAAGAAAAGGCGAGAUUGUUGAAGUUUAUACUUAGGAAUUCUGUUCAAUACUGUGUGGAACAAUGGUAUUAGAGCUUUCCUAGUAGUCUGAAAUUUUAAGUUAAUUAGUCACCUAAUUAAAUUAUUGAGUAAUGUAUAUGAAGUUUUUUGGUGUUUAGAUCUAACUAUAACUGGGUUCAUUACUUCUCAAAAUAAUAAUUUAUAGUGAACUGUAAUUAACAAACAUGUUUUACUUUGCAGGAACUGAAUUGUUACUUGUAGAAAAUAAUAAACAGAUUAUGAUUAUUAGAACUUAAAAAUCCCCAUCUGAUUUAGCCUCACAUAUUUCACAUUGUAUGUAUAGUUUUGCAUCAAUAUUGUAAUAUUAUUAUAUAGCAUGGCCUUGUUUACUUUUGAUUCAACUCAUACAUAACAUAAAGCUGCACACUUGCUCACUUAUCUCUACUAGUUUUGUAGGGGUAGGGAGAGACCAGCAACUUGUAUUUGUAUUCUGAAGAAAUCAACCUAACAACUGAGGUUGGUUCCAAUAUGAAUGCCAAAUUGCUUGCAGUAUUCCUUGUAAGUACUGAAUCCGAGCCUGAACGGCUCCAGGGUUUCCGCCAUUGCAAUCUCUGCCAUUGAUGGCCUGAAUGGUUGCUCGAAAGCCUUGCUCCAUGACGGACCGGACAUUUAUCAUCCGGAACCACAAGGCUGUCUUGAAAGACACGAUGAGAUCCUUGCCAACGUUUUCUGGAUAGCCGAGUAAGUUGAGGUUGAGAGCAUCCCCUGCUGCAUUGUAGGUAUGUUGAAAUAAUAAUUUGAAAAUUAAAGAGACUUUUUAUCUUACUAACGAGCUAAAAAUAAUAAUUUAUAAAUAAAUAAAAAAUUUCUUACAAAGAAUUAAAUUAUAAAUAUGUGUUUUUUCGUUUUCUCUAAAUAAUUAAAAUUUAUAAAUUAAAAUUCGAUACGGUAAUUCUGGACAUGUUGGUUCUCACUGGAGAAUGGUGUAUGUGCAAGUAGGGUUCUCAUUGCUAUUUAUACAUAGUUGUUAAAAGAGUGAAAUAUGCGGUGAAAAGACCGCGAAAAGUUUGCUCUCUCGGCUACAUGACUGUCAGUCUACCGUUUGAAGCUGAAUUGAGCGAAGAAAAGUUCGUUUCGAGAGAAGUCUAUUUCUUUGGUUUCAGAGUGCCCAUCUGAAGCAAUUUUUCUAAUGCGAAUACAAGUAACUUCCCUUAAUUGCUUGGAAUAGCCUACACAGCCAUCGAACAUACCUAAUAAGCUUAAAGUUCGGUGAAUUUUCUCUAAUGAUCUUUGAAAUCUGAUUACGCAUGUCUUAAUCCAUUGUAUGAUCAAAAUAUUCAACCAUAACCAUAAGUUUAGUUGGUAUCGAAACGUACGAUAAAUAGUGCACAAUAUAAGAUUUAAAUUUUAUACUCUCGAACGUAUUAGUUUUUUAACGAAUCGAUGAAUUGUAUUUUAAAUUAUAUUUUAUUGAAAGAAGAUUUAAUAACUUAAUAUACUUAAAUUAUUCAGAUUUUGGCUAAAACCUAUUUAGCCGGACAUUAGAAUACACUCGAGUGGAAUCGUUUAAUGCGGAUUCAGGUUCGAUCAUAUCAUAGAACCAACAACUUUGAGCUCAUUAAUCUUUUGAAAAUCAUUUCAUUUUAGGUAGAAAAAAUCUUUCAAGGAUCAUAUCAUAUAAAUUGCAUGAGUGUGAUCAUACUAGAUUUUUUCUGACUUAUAGUGUGUGUGUGUGUGUUUGUGUAUGUAUAUACUUACACACAUUGAUAGAUUAAUAGGGAGAGAAAUGGAGAUUAUUAAAUUUAAUCAACAUUUUGUUGAUAAAUCAUAUAUGAUAAGGAAGAGAAUAAAAUUUUGGCAAUGACCAUCAUGACAACAAAAUUUUAUUAUUUAUGAAGUAACAUACAUAUAUAUACAUAUACAUAUAUAUAUAUGUACUUAAUCCUCUGGUUCUCUUCAGUCCUGAUCCAAAGAAACUUAAGCUUUGCCCAGCUUUAUUAAUUACCUUCUUCUCUAAUUGCGUCCAUCCAUCUCAGUUGAUGCUACAAAACGCAUAAGGACAAACAACAAUACAAUAAUGAUAAUCAAUAUCCAAUCUUUUGGAAGCACAUAUACAUAAGUGUAUAUAUAUAUAUAUAUAGAUGUGGUUUGAUUUUGAUAAUAUUAUGCGUAUGUUCUAGUGAAUAUUUUGCUUAUAUUUUGAAAAUAUUCUGAGAAAAAUUAUAAUAUUUUAUAUAUAUAAGAGUUUAGAAUUUUAUUAAUAAUAUAGUCUUAUUUUUUAUCAGAGUAGAAAAUUUUUUCUGGAUUUAAUCUGCGGAUGUAUAGAUAUAUUUUUUUGAAUCAUGUUAAAUUUUGUAUUUUUUUUUUUUGGUAAUACAUUAGAGAAUAUUUUUUUGUCAACAAUAUGUAUAUAUAUAUAUAUAUAUAUAUAUAUAGACACACUCAACAAUAUAAAAAAAUAUAUAUAGACAUACAUGUAUGGAUAGUAGUUAGACUCACUUUUGGCAGUUGGUAUUCUUGGAGAUGGGAAUAUUCAUUUGAACGCCGCACUUGGUGGGGAGAGAAGCUGCUGCAUCUUCCUUGAUAUUAGGGUACCGACCAGCCGCCUCCUUCACGCAGUUGCAGGCAGCUUGACGGUCGGCGGCGGUGGGAGUUAUGGCCUUGAUAUUCUUCACGCCAUCACAGCACGCCGGAGCCGGAGUACCGCCGGCCGUCAGGUAGGGAAUGCAGGCAGCAAGUGAUGCAUCGACCUGGCCGCAAGUCACGGCUGCCUCACCUGGCUUCAUGGCCACCAGCUGAACCACCAUAAAUGCAACCAGGAUAGAUGCAAUAACACACUUCAUUUUAGCUUACUUCGAAGCAGGAACCACUGAUCGGUACUAGUUUCCUCUUUUCGUUUUGGGUAAACCAGUUUCCUGUUUUGGAGUGAAAUGGCAGGGUGUAUAUAUAUAGGCGUGUAAAGGGGAUUAUACUAUAACCAUAGCUGUUACUGUGUUUUGUCAUCUGGGUUUGCUUGUGGGUUUCCUAAAAUAGUAAAUGGGGAUAAGCUUCUGAAUCUUGUUUGAACUUUCUGUUAGGUCUUAUCCUAGCCUUAUCACCAUCUACUAAUGCUUCUUGGGAAUCUCCUCUUUCUUAAUCUUCACUUGAUGAUGUUCAGAACGCCUUAUCACCAUCUAAUAAUACUUCUUGAGAAUCUACUCUUUCUUAAUCUUCAGUAGAUGAUAUCCGAAACUGAGAAUUAGUUUUCAAAAAUACUUGUACCUUUUGUAGUUGAUCAAAUCGAUAUAAAUUAAUCUUAAUAUAUAUAUAUAUAUAUAUAUGCAGGUGUGGAGAGAGAAACAGAGUUGGGAUAUUUUGGUGUGAAUUUAGGUGAUGAACAAGUGGAUCUUGGUUUGAAGAUUGAGCUAAUAUGCAAUGGGGCAUUUGCAAAAUGAACAAAUUGCCCAUCCAUAUAUAUAUAUAUAUAUAUAUAUAUGUAUAGCAAACAAUCUAAUGAAUUGAAAAAGAAAAUCAAAUACAAUCUUCCCUCCCUCAAACAUAUAUAAUCUAAUAUAUAUAUUCAUCUUCAUAAAUAUUGGGUAAAUUCUUUAUUUCUCUACUAAAAAAAAUUUAGAUUCAAACUAGACUAUAAUAUAUAUAUAUAUAUUUUCUUCCCACCUUUUUGUUUAUUUUGUAAGACUUAACUUUGAGAUACUUCUUAUCCUGAUACAUGCAAGAAAGUGUUUAAAACAUAUAUAAUAUUAGAAUUUUAAAAACACCCAAUAAAUAUAUAGAGAAUUCACGAUGGUGUAAUUAUAAGAGAGUACUUCUGAUCGUACAUGCAUGUACAAUUGCUCCAUCACUCAUUUCUCUACCACAUAUAUAUAUAUAUAUAUGUUUAUUUAUUUAUUUAGGGUUAACUGCGAAGAUAGGAGCAGCAUGCAUGACGUUAUAAUUAUAAUUCUAUUACAAACAAAAAGUCAACCAUCUAACACCUGAUAUUGGCUCCAGGAUCAACACCAAGUUUGCUACAAUACUCCCGGUAGUACCGGAUCCGAGCGUCGACAGCUCCAGAGUUUCCACCAUUACAUUCCAUGCCAUUGAUGGCCCG
rnacentral:lncRNA from 1 species